CGCCCUAUACCCAAUGUCCCAGACUAGACUAAACGUAAUUUUGGUUGGUCUCGAUUUUGGUCUAAGCAGAGAAAAACUAUUACUCUAUCUCUGGUCUAAGGUACAUGGUCAGAUCAGAGAGCCGUUGAAAUGACUGAUCUAUCAGAACUGGACACACUUAGACUGGAAAACAGUCGUUUGCAGUUGAAAGUCCGUGCUCAAGAUGGAGUGUUCCAAAAACUCUUGAAGGAAAAGGUGCAGGCCCAGAAGGAAUUGUUGCAAGCUGAAGAAGAUAUGAGAUUAAUGCGGCACGAGUUUGAAUUACGGGAAAAAAUGUUUCUUAACACUCGUGAUGAGAAUGAAAUGGAGAUAGCCACAUUAAAGAGCAUCAAUCAAAGCCUAGAAGCCCGUCUUAAUGCAGCAUUGGACAGUGAUGAUGGUGGAGUGGAGAUUCUCGAUUCUAGAGAUGCCAAGGUGUUAGCAAUGAGCACUGUUUCACCCUUCUACUCACUGCCCAAACUGUCUGCUGUGGAAGCUGUGGAAACACUCAGCAAAUGGGAGGGUAUGGGAUCAACAAUCAACUUGUUACAAGCUAUCAUCAAUGAGGAUGAAGAUGUACUGACAUGGAAAGCAGGCUCACCAUGGACAAGUAACUGGAAGUAUGUUCUCACUCUGUACAUCUCCGCCCCUCUGGAUACUCACCAGGAGCUCAACUUGUUCUGGGAGGAAUUUAUGCCACAACUUGAUGCAAUGGCUCAUUCUUGUGGAAGUUACCUAAAUGCUGUUGUCUUGACUACAUCUGAUGUACAGCGUACUCUUACUGAUGAACAGACCUUGUCUUAUGCUGCUGAUCUUGUUGGCAAGACAGACAUCUUCGUUGCUCUACUGAAGGAUGACGCUACAGAGUUGACUAAAGUUGAGAUUGAGACAGGAUUUCUUAACUGUCCAAGCACAAGACCUUGUUUGUUUUUGCUUCUUCCUGGAGGGAGUAACCAAGAUUCUCCAUCAAAGAGUUGCCGCCUGAAGGAAAGAAUCAAGAAAAUGAAGUCAUAUGACAAUGCUCGUAUCAAUGAAUGCAAGGAGAGUCGGCAAGAACAUUUGGUGUGGUUGUAUAGUGAGCUCAACCAGACCUUGAAGCAGUUUGAUGUUUUUGAGACCAAAACUCAACUGGACGUCAUGGAGAUGAUUGCUUAUCAGCAGGACAAGCGCCGUGAAUGGGAGCAAGUCCAAAUUUUGGAAAGUUUGCUAGAAGAUGCACCUCUUUCUCUUGUUGGACUGGAGCAGGUGUUUUCUCAACUUGACGAGUACAUUGCUGAAACAGGGCCUGUAGCAACUCUUCUAUUGUCAGGGCCUGGUGGCAAUGGAAAAUCAACCAUACUCGCUAAAUGGAUGGACCGACGUGCCGAAAAUGAGGGAAUAAUUAUGUUCUAUCAUUUUGUUAGUGGAGAAGGUUUCUCUAAUGCUGAAGUUGCUGUUGUUUAUCGAAGGUUUUUGCAAAAGCUGAUGUACUUUUGCAACGACGAAGGUGAAGUGUCGUACUGCCCUGCUGAUCUUGAGCGAGAAUUUUGUAUUCUUUUGGAGAAAGCAUCAACUCUUCUGGAAUGCCCUGAUGAUAGAUUAUUACUGAUCAUCGAUGGUGCUGAUGUGAUUAUGGAGAACAACAAGUACAUGAAUUGGAUUAGUAAGCCUCUUCCAAGUAAUGUCAGAGUCAUUUUGUCAGCAAGAGACGACAAGCAUCCUGAAUCAUGGAGGAACCUUCCAUCUCCAACAGUUCCCACUGCAACAUCAACAGACAUUAUUGAAAUCAUAAAUGGAGUUCAAGAGAAGAUUCCCAAUUGCAACAAGUUGAAUGAGGAACAGAUAAGUAUGCUUGCUGUUUGUGCUCCAGAGGUCCCGCGAUGGUGUGUUGUUGCAGUACGGAACCUGCUCAGAUUCUCAAACUUGGAGGGCGAUGAACUGGAUGAAUACAUUGAGGAACUGGAUGAAUAUCAAGAUGUUCCUGACCUCCUAGCUUGCUUUAUUCACAAACUUUCAUGUCAGUACCCAAACGUUUCUGGAGUGGUAGGACAGAUUUUGAAGCUCCUUUUCAGCUCAAGGAAUGGAUUGCUACUUGCUGAAAUCGUAGCGAUCACCAGAUGUUCUCUUGGUUUGGUUUCUACAAUAAUUGUGGAGCUGAAAUCAAGAAUGCUUGUCACUGGUGAUGGUCUCAUUUCUCUAUCGAAUGAGCAGGUUCAGGAGGCUGUGUUGUUGCAGUACAAUGUCAUUGACUACCUCAGUGAUUGGACCCCACCUCUUUUAGACUACUUUUCAAGUAGUACUAGCAAAAAUGCAACGCAGCAAGUAAGAAUUGUGGAAGAGUUACCAUGGAUGCUAAAGCGAGGUGAAAUGUUAGAAGAACUGGCUAACCUUAUAUUGAACGUUGAUAUCCUGAUUCUGGCUUGUGCCAGUGGACAGAGCGGGGAGUUGUUGGGAUAUUGGAGUUACUUGAAUGCAGAUCCUGCUUCACUAGUUCAACAAUACCACAAAUUGUUGUUGGUGACUGAAGAAACGAAAAUCGUCACUUCGGAGUUGUUGGCUCUAUUUCGAAUAACGGGUAAACUACUCUCACGUUUGGGGUUUGCUCAGCAGGCUCUGCUACCAUUGCAACAUGCCCUGGAGUUGAGUGAGUCACAAAUAGACUCUAACAGCACUGAUAUUGCUCAGUCGUUGUAUGAACUAGCGAUCGUUCAUUCAAAUGCUGGUCAUCUAGAGACUGCUGAAGAUUUGUACGUUCAAACAAUAGAGUCGUUUGAUGAUUGCAAUGCUACUGACUCCAGGUUUUGUCUAAAAGUACUUCGAGAACUCUCAUCAUUGUAUAAAGAGAACGGAAAAAAUGAUAUGUCGGAUGACAUUCUUACAAGAAUGAUGUCAAUGAAAGAAUCCAACCAGUCGUCUGUUGAAACAAGUGAAAUUCUAUUGAAACGAGUUGAAUACCUUGAAGAGGUCUGCUCUACUGGUGAUGAUUCUACCGUGUUAAUCCGUUGUCUCAAUCAGCUGGGUGUUGUUCUUGCCGUUUAUGGAGAUACCGACAAUGCCGAAGAAAAGUUCCUCAAAUGUCUCAAGCAUUAUGACUCUGUUGCACCAGCUCAUGAUGGAAUUGUAGUUAUUUUGCGAAACCUUGGAAGAUUUUACACUGAGAAAGAAAGGUAUGAUUUGGCUGUUCCUUUGAUGGAGAAUGCGUACGAAAUCGUAGUAAAGACCAAUACUUUUAAAGACUCCGAUGUGAUGUGUGUAACGGAAAGUCUUGCUCUACUUCACAGAGAAGAGCUCCACCGAGGCAUCAGCACCAGCAUUCACAUCAUGUAUACUUUUACCCAUAGAGAAAUUUUGAAAGAGCAGAAUUUCUUCAAAGGGAGUUAUUGGAUCUGAAGUUGAAGCACUCUGGCGAACAUAGUCUUGAAGUGGCGAAGGUCAUGAAUAACCUUGCUGUUCUUUGUUGUUUGAGAGUAGCCUCCUUCACAAGGCCUCAAAAAGGAGGACUGCUUGCGCAUGCGCACAAUUAUUGGAUAAUUUCCCCGUAAUGUUUCCAUUAAACUGAAUUUUUUUAUAGAUAAUGGCGUGCAAUACAUACACAUUUUAUGCACUAGCUGUAUGAAAUAUGAACUACGAACUUAUGUGAGUGAACAUGCUCAAGUUUCUCAGACUGGAUCAAAUUGGACCGAUAUUAUACUAACAGACAGACUUCCAUGCAUGGCACCAGUAAUGGCUGGCCUACUGCUCACUCUUCUCUUGUCUUAGCACCGAAACUGCACUCAAGCAGGUCCAAGCUCUGCUUUUCCUGGGAAACGCUUAACAUUGUCGACAAUAUUUUGGGAUUAACUGCUGCAUUGCAGCAUAUGUAGAUGGACCGGUUAACGAAUCGAUCAAACGUCACAACCUACGCCAAGGAACGCAACAGACUUCCUAAUUUGCCCUCCGCAAUUUCUGCAUCAAUGGCUUCAAAACGCCCUUCAAGACGGAGAAUUCACCAGGAACUGUUCCAAGUUACGGAUCUCACCCUUGAUAACGCCCUCAGACAGGACAUACAACACAUGUCAACUGCAAAGUCAGCUCGGACAUGCCCAGGAUGUUUGAACAAAUUCCACGACAAUUGUGGCAAAACUGCAAGAUCGAAACCCUCCACUGGCACUCCCCAGUUUAUCGAAGACCUAGGUGAACGCACAGGCAACUUUGCGUACUCAGACAUCAUGGAACUACCCUCAAGGAACUAAGACGUCCCAAUCCGAUUACGAUAUCCCACUGAGUCUCAGACUCCAAAGGCUACAAUGUAUUGCUGGAAGAAAGCGAUUGAUUAUCGAGAUCGAAUAUUGUCCAACCGAGGAUGUGAUAGCCGAUAGCCGAUAUAUUGACAAAAACCGUAUUGUUUUUGUAAUCAGCCUGAUUUAUGCAAAACGUCAGUUGGCCACGUGUUUGUGUGAAACUCAAAAUGGCUAAUUCUCGUCUGUAAUCUUCACUGAAAAACAAAUAAAUAGUAUCUGUCUUUAAUUUUACCACACUGGCGUGCUGUAAUAUUAUAGCAAAAGGGUUAUGCCUACCACUCACGGUAGUGUCGUUACGAACCGCGCUCCCAUACAUUGUUUUGGCGGGGGGACGCGUCUGUGAUCGUCGCAGUGCUGGGCAUGCUAAACGAUAAUAAUUGCCGAUAAUAAUUAUGCCUAACAAUAGAAGCUGUCACCAAAUUUCAGUGGAGUGUCAGCAGGAAGUUCGUUAUUUAAAUCAACAUGCCUAUUUGUCCCCCCAGUAUUAUGUGUGUUGGUUGAUUCAGUAUACUGCUUGUUGUAUUCAAAUUUGUAAUUCAUGGACUGUG